CUAAUACUCCCUCCGUCCCAAAAUUCUUGUCUUAGAUUUGUCUAGAUACGUAUGUAUCUAAUACUAAAACGUGACUUGAUACAUCCGUAUUUAGACAAAUCUAAGGCAAGAAUUUUGGGACGGAGGGAGUAUAAA
rnacentral:pre_miRNA from 1 species